rnacentral:rRNA from 1 species
GUGGGGAAUCUUAGACAAUGGGCGCAAGCCUGAUCUAGCCAUGCCGCGUGAGCGAUGAAGGCCUUAGGGUUGUAAAGCUCUUUCAGCUGGGAAGAUAAUGACGGUACCAGCAGAAGAAGCCCCGGCUAACUCCGUGCCAGCAGCCGCGGUAAUACGGAGGGGGCUAGCGUUGUUCGGAAUUACUGGGCGUAAAGCGCACGUAGGCGGAUCAGAAAGUCAGAGGUGAAAUCCCAGGGCUCAACCUUGGAACUGCCUUUGAAACUCCUGAUCUUGAGGUCGAGAGAGGUGAGUGGAAGUCCGAGUGUAGAGGUGAAAUUCGUAGAUAUUCGGAGGAACACCAGUGGCGAAGGCGGCUCACUGGCUCGAUACUGACGCUGAGGUGCGAAAGCGUGGGGAGCAAACAGGAUUAGAUACCCGUGUAGUCC